rnacentral:rRNA from 1 species
UAAACGACUCUCGGCAACGGAUAUCUCGGCUCUCGCAUCGAUGAAGAACGUAGCGAAAUGCGAUACUUGGUGUGAAUUGCAGAAUCCCGUGAACCUUCGAGUCUUUGAACGCAAGUUGCGCCCGAAGCCAUUAGGCCGAGGGCACGCCUGCCUGGGCGUCACAC